GCUCCAUUUCUGUUCGCUAGGUGGGUCCUCACUGGAGCACUGCCAGGCAGGAAAGACAUUCUUGAGGACCCAAGUGGAACUCGUCUAUAUCCAAGAUAUCAGACCAGCUUUGCUGAUGUGACAUUCCUAUGGCAGAGUGAGGUGGCUGAGACAGUGGGUGCAGACCAUGGUGUAAACUUGCAGCUGGUGUGGAUGCCAGUUGUCCUCAGUUGUGCCUUGCUUGGCAUAUCCUGUGAGCACUGACUCGGGACUGCUUUGCCUAGAGGAAGCCCUGGUCUGGUUGGUGGCUCUGUUCAUCCUUCUUCUGUACUGGUGCACAGGCCACCAUGAAACAGAUGGGAAGUGGUCAACAAUGG
rnacentral:lncRNA from 1 species